rnacentral:rRNA from 1 species
AACCAGAAGGCGCAAUGAAAGUGAAGGCACGGUCGCCGUGCCGAGGUGAGAGCUGUCCUCGGCAGCGCAUCAUCGACCGAUCCCAUCCGCUCCCCCGUGGUGCGGCGGGAUUCGAGUGAGAGUGUACCUGUUGCGACCCGAAAGAUGGUGAACUAUGCCUGAAUAGGGUGAAGCCAGAGGAAACUCUGGUGGAGGCCCGUAGCGAUUCUGACGUGCAAAUCGAUCGUCAAAUUUGGGUAUAGGGGCGAAAGACUAAUCGAACCAUCUAGUAGCUGGUUCCCUCCGAAGUUUCCCUCAGGAUAGCUGUAGCCCGAAGCAGUUUUAUCAGGUAAAGCGAAUGAUUAGAGGUAUCGGGGAAGAAACUUCCUCGACCUAUUCUCAAACUUUAAAUAGGUAAGAAGUCCGACUUGCUCAAUUUGAAGCCGGACACAGAAUGCUGGGUUACUAGUGGGCCAUUUUUGGUAAGCAGAACUGGCGAUGCGGGAUGAACCGAACGCCGAGUUAAGGUGCCAAAGUCGACGCUCAUCAGAUCCCACAAA